GAUGAAGAACGCAGCGAAAUGCAAUACGUAAUGUGAAUUGCAGAAUUCAGUGAAUCAUCGAAUCUUUGAACGCAUAUUGCGCUCUCUGGUAUUCCGGAGAGCAUGCUUGUUUGAGUAUCAGUAAACACCUCAACUUCCAUAUCUUUUUUGAAAUGGGAGUUGGACUUGAGUGAUCCCAACGCUUUUCCUCACCGAAAAGUGGCGGGUUACUUGAAAUGCAGGUGCAGCUGGACUUUUCUCUGAGCUAUAAGCAUAUCUAUUUAGUCUGCCUAAAAAACAGAUUAUUACCUUUGCUGCAGCUAACAUAAAGGAGAUUAGUUCUUGUGCUGACUGAUGCAGGAUUCACAAAGACGGCUUCGGCCGACUUUGUAAACUCGAUCUCAAAUCAAGUAAGACUACCCGCUGAACUUAAGCAUAUCAAUAAGCGGAGGA
rnacentral:misc_RNA from 1 species